rnacentral:rRNA from 1 species
AGAGCGAACGCUGGCGGCAGGCCUAACACAUGCAAGUCGAACGCACCUUCGGGUGAGUGGCGGACGGGUGAGUAACACGUGGGAACGUACCUUUGGUUCGGAAUAACGCAGGGAAACUUGCGCUAAUACCGAAUGUGCUCCGUAAGGAGGAAAGAUUUAUCGCCAUUAGAGCGGCCCGCGUUAGAUUAGCUAGUUGGUGAGGUAAAGGCUCACCAAGGCUACGAUCUAUAGCUGGUCUGAGAGGAUGAUCAGCCACAUUGGGACUGAGACACGGCCCAAACUCCUACGGGAGGCAGCAGUGGGAAUCUGCGCAAUGGGCGAAAGCCUGACGCAGCCAUGCCGCGUGAAUGAUGAAGGUCUUAGGAUUGUAAAAUUCUUUCAGUAGGACGAUAAUGACGGUACCUACAGAAGAAGCCCGGCUAACUUCGUGCCAGCAGCCGC